rnacentral:rRNA from 1 species
GAUGAACGCUGGCGGCGUGCCUAAUACAUGCAAGUCGAGCGAACGGACGAGAAGCUUGCUUCUCUGAUGUUAGCGGCGGACGGGUGAGUAACACGUGGAUAACCUACCUAUAAGACUGGGAUAACUUCGGGAAACCGUAGCUAAUACCGGAUAAUAUUUUGAACCGCAUGGUUCAAAAGUGAAAGACGGUCUUGCUGUCACUUAUAGAUGGAUCCGCGCUGCAUUAGCUAGUUGGUAAGGUAACGGCUUACCAAGGCAACGAUGCAUAGCCGACCUGAGAGGGGGAUGGGCCACACUGGACUGGAGAACGGGGCCAGACUCCCAGGGGAGGAAGCGGUGGGGAAUCUUCCGAAAUGGGCGAAAGCUUGCCGGAGCAACGCGGCGGGAGGGAUGAAGUUUUUGGGAUCGAAAAACUCUGUUAUUGGGAAAAAAAAUAUUUGUAAGUAACGGUGCACAUCUUGCCGGUACCUAAUCAGAAAGCCACGGCUAACUACGG